rnacentral:misc_RNA from 1 species
CCCGUAACGGAAUCAAUACUGAUUACUGGCAUCGUUUUCGUCGUACAUCUCAACGAUCUUCCCCAUCACUAUACAGAGCAGAGCUUAAACUAAGCAAAUUAAAAAAAAAAAAAAACACUAAUCUACUCCAACAUUCAUCUAUUCAUUCAACACCACCUCUUCCUUUUUGCAAAUUUCCAUCUAAAUAUGGAUCCCAACCCCAAGUCCUUCCCGAUCCUCUCCUAUGUUAUGGCCCGACUUCCCUCCCUCUCACCCCAAUCCCCCUCCACCACCUUCGACGUCGAGCAGCCCCUGCCACGCGCUGCCUCCGAUCCCUCUUCCUGCCAAACGCCCAUUGUCUCCCAAUUACCCCACUUAACUGACCCCAAGGUCCUAGCUUCCAUGACCAGCGCCAUCGCCGAUGUGGCCCAGACCCGAUCAAUCCUUCAAACCCUCGGCCCUCGCCCUGACCACGAGACCGUCGACACUGCCAGACUUAAACUUUCUGAAAUCGAAUCCAACCUCUCCACACAGCUCGAAGAAAUUGUCCUCUCUCCACAGCCCGCCGAAGUCGAUAGGCUUGAAUGGCGCGCGCACUUGGUGGACAAGGAACAUCAGUGUCGACAAGCAGCCGAGAAAGAGAAGAAUUUGUACAAGACGAUAUUGCAAUUGGAGGAGAUGCACGAGUCUUACGAGAAGCUAUUGAAGGCGGCGGAGCAGCGGUUGGUGAAGAUUUAUGAGAAGGCGGAGAUGGGAGAGGAGGAGGAGCUGAAAGAUAAGGAGGAAGUGGACGAGCAGUUGAAUGAAGAGGUUGUGGGAAUACUCCAAGAGGUGUCUGGAAAAGGGUUGGAAAGGAUCGAUUUGUCGAACCGGAGAUUGUUGUUCUUGCCUGAGGCGUUUGGAAGGAUUCGUGGGUUGAGAGUGCUUAAUCUCUCUAAUA